rnacentral:rRNA from 1 species
CCUGGUUGAUCCUGCCAGUAGUCAUAUGCUUGUAUCAAAGAUUAAGCUAUGCAUGUGUAAGUAUGAACAAAUUCAGACCGUGAAACUCCGAAUGGCUCAUUAAAUCAGUUAUACUUGUUUGAUGGUAUCUACUACUCGGAUAACCUUACUAAUUCUAGAGCUAAUACGUGCAACAAACCCCGACUUCUGGAAGGGAUGCAUUUAUUAGAUAAAAGGUCGAUGUGGGCUCUGCCAGUUGCUGCGAUGAUUCAUGAUAACUCGACGGAUCGCACGGCCAUCAUGCCGGCGACGCAUCAUUCAAAUUUCAACCCUAUGAACUUUUGAUGGUAGGACAGUGGCCUACCAUGGUGGUGACGGGUGACGGAGAAUUAUGGUUCGAUUGCGGAGAGGGAGCCUCCGAAACGGCUACCAUAUCCAAGGAAAGAAGAAGGCGUGCAAAUUACCCAAUCCUGACACGAGGAGGUAGUGACAAUAAAUAACAAUACUGGGCUCCAUGAGUCGGGUAAUUGGAAUGAGUACAAUCUAAAUCCCUUAACGAGAAUCCAUUGGAGGGCAAGUCUAGUGCCAGCAGUCGCGGUAAUUCCAGCUCUAAUAGCGUAUAUUUUAGUUGUUGCAAUUAAAAAGCUCGUAGUUUGACUUUGGGAUGGGCCGACCGGUGCGCCCUAGAUGUGCACCGGUCGUCUCGUCCCUUCUGUCAGGCGAUGCGCUCAUGGCGUUUAAUGGCCGGGUCGUGCCUCCGACGCUGUUACUUUGAAGAAUUAGAGUGCUCAAAGAAAUCCUACGCUCUGUAUACAUUAGCAUGGGAUAACAUUAUAGGUUUUCAUUCAUAUAACGUUGGCCUUCAGGAUCAUAGUAAUGAUUAACAAGAAUAGUCGGGGGCAUUCGUAUUUCAUAGUCAGAGGUGAAAUUCUUGGAUUUAUGAAAGAUGAACAAUUGCGAAAGCAUUUGCCAAGAAUAUUUUAGUUAACCAAGAACGAAAUUUGGGGGCUCAAAGAUGAUUAGAUACCGUCCAAGUCUCAACCAUAAACUAUGCUGACCAGGGAUCGACUUAGGACUCUGCCGCCACCUUAUGAGAAAUCAAAGUUUUUGGGUUUUGGGGGGAGUAUGGUCGCAAGGCUGAAACUUAAAGGAAUUGACGGAAGGGCACCACCAGGAGUGGAGCCUGCGGCUUUAUUUGACUCAACACAGGGAAACUUACAAGGUCCAAACAUAGUAAGGAUUGAUAGACUUAGAGCUCUUUCUUGAUUCUACUGGUGGUGGUGCAUGGCCGUUCUUAGUUGGUGAAGCGAUUUGUUUGGUUAAUUCCAUUAACGAAUGAGACCUCAUCCUGCUAACUAGCUAUGCGGAAGUAUCCCUUCGCGGCCAGCUUCUUAGAGGGACUACGGCCUUUUAGGCCGCGGAUGUUUGAGGCAAUAACAGGUUUGUGAUGCCCUUAGAUGUUAUGGGCCGCACGCGCGCUACACUGAUUAUUCAACGAGCUUAUAGCUUUGGCCAACAGGCCCGGGUAAUUUUUGAAAUUUCGUCGUGAUAGGGAUAUAUCAUUGCAUUUAUUGGUUUUCAACGAGGAAUUCCUAGUAAGCAUACGCGCUUAUGUGUGCUAGUUUACCACCCUUAAAUUUCAGAUUCCCAACCUCAGGGACGACGACGCAUUGUUCUACCUCAUGGAUGGGCUGCAAAAUUGGGCCAG